rnacentral:lncRNA from 1 species
AAGACGUGAGAUUAUGCCAUGUUAACAUGUCAUUUGAUGAUCCGAAAUGAAUUUAGGAACAAACAACGAACUGAAAUGAAACAAGAUAGAAGAAAUUGAAGGAGAGACAAGCACAUAUUCGGGGCUCAAGAUGGUGAAAAUUCAUUUCCAUGUGCAAGAACAAAACAGCUAGGCUAGAAGCAGAGCGCAGAGAACGUGAAUAAUGUUACCAGAUGACGACGACUAGGGGCGACUAAUCAGCCUGCAAAGGAGAGACAAGUAUCAAACAAAAGGAAUGCAUCAGAUAUGAACUUCAUUUUUAUAUAAUUCACAUAUAUAUAACAAAUCUAUGCUACUUUAAUAAUAGGAUUGAAGUCAUGCAUGUUAUAUCCCAUUACUUUGUAUUCUCAGUGGAAGGCGGUUUUCAUCUCAUUGACUAGCUAGCUAGAAACAAACCCAGCACAAGUUAUUGCCCACUGGUUUCAAAACCAUGAAAACUGUUGUAAAGAGAAUAGACCUAGCUACAUGUUCCUCGAGAAAUGUUGCACUCCAAGUUGCCCUCUAUAACAUCAUUGUAAGUUAAAUCUUAUCAUUGCAGAAAACAUGGAGCGCUAUAUGACUUAGGUUCACCGGUUGUUAAGCAAAGAUAGACAUUCAUCAGGUCAACUGGUCAAGUACGUACAUCUGAAAUCUAAACCCUAAGCUCUGAUUGAGAAAAGGUGUCCGUACUCAUUUACUUCUUGUAUAACAAAACUCUCUAUUGAGGUUGAUAUACAUAUAUACAUGUAUAAGUAACUUUAAACUUGAAUUCAGAUCAACAGUAAAAGUAUAAGAUGUAUGUACUUGUAUCAAACUAUCUACAAGUAUAAGAACCAACUUCUGCAGCAGCCAAUACAGUAAAUCAGUUAAUCUGGUACUGAUUAACUAAGAAACCAGUCAUGUAUUCGAGCUCGUUUCUAAGAGAGCUGGUAUGUGACAAUCCUAAGUGGAAUCCACAAACUGAUUACGAUCGCGAUUCGCGAGAGUAAACAUGUCAUUGCAUAUGGUAGCUACAUUCACCACCAGAAAUAGGGACACAGACUAAUAUGGCUUAAGCAGUUUACAGUCUUCUGCACUUUCCAAGAUAUAGGUCCUUUUAAUUUGCAGUGCAUCACCCAGUUUAUCUGAUUAAUCAUCUUUAUUAUAUGAAAUGGAAAGUUGUACACGGGCAAUUGAGAGGAAGGGAUCCCUUGACAGGAAUAAAUUUAAAUUACAGCUAGUUGGGAUUAAUAAGAUUUUCCUAAUCGUAUAGUAGCUACUGUGUCAACAUCUGCUAAUUAAGUAAAAGAGUUAAAUUGUAUGUCAAUUUGUGUUGCUAAUAAGGACUACAACUCAGUUACAUAUAUACUGAAGAUACAUAGGUGUUGAUUUGUGUCCUUAAUUAAGUGGCAAGCUUAGCUAGCGCCCUUGUUUCAUUUGGUGCAGUUACAACAGACCUUCAUAUAAAUUUGAAUCCCUUGGAUCAUUUCCUAUAUGCUUCUAGAACAGAAAAGCUGAAGAAUGGACGGAGGGGUGAAUCACACAUAUGAUCAAAUGAGGGUUUAGUUUUUCUAAAAAGAGAGAGAGAGAUGUGAGUUGGCAUGUUUGUUACCCAAUUUCAAUCCAAGGCCAAAUAUCUUCAUGAAAGAUAUAUAACCAAUGACAAUGUGACACUCGGGAUUCUUAGUUUAUUAUAAUAAAGCUAGGAAAGAUCAUGUCGAAGAUAGAUAUAUAGUCGAAUAUAGAUAGCUAGAUCAUUAUCAAAAUGUAGAAUAUUGGGUUGGUAAUCAAAUAUUAUUACUGUAUCUGCUGCCUCUAUUCGAUUUAGCUUACAUAAGUACUUAAACACUUGAAAUUAUUAUCAUCCAUGAUUCUUGUGAACAAGUUUUGUGAAAGCAGCCAUGAGCUUGUGAGUCUUUGAUAGACACAUAUAUAACCACAACUAGCAGGGUCGAUAUGCAUUGUUUACUAAUGUGUCUAAUUAAGCAGAAACAUGCCAACACGCCAUAAUGGUCUUUACUUUAGAAAUUUCCUACAGCUUCUGCGUCUGCAUAUGCUGCUAAAUCUAACAAAUAUGCAAAUCUGUUUAUAUAAUGUGUAUGUACGUACACAAAUAUAUGCUUUUGUGUAUGUUUUCCCUAGUAUGUGAUCUACCAUCGUCCACAUAGACUAUAUUAUGCGAGACUCAUUGACUACCAAUAAUGCACAAUACUCAUAAUCAAUUUGUAUGAUUACCUAGCUUUCUGCAUUUCAAUGUUAAUCUAAUCUAAAUAAACAUUGUGUUCUUCCCUGGCUUCCACUUGCAAUUGUUUUGAUUUGUUAAGUAUUUUCAUGAUUGAAUUAUGUAUUAUUCAGAAUAACAGAAGAGAAUCCACAUAUGUGACAAGAAGUACCUUUUUGAGGAGAGCUUUCUCUGU